CCUACGGGAGUCAGCAGUGAGGAAUAUUGGUCAAUGGUCGGGAGACUGAACCAGCCAAGCCGCGUGAGGGAUGAAGGUACAGAGUAUCGUAAACCUCUUUUGUCAGGGAACAAAGGCGGGGACGCGUCCCCGGAUGAGUGUACCUGAAGAAAAAGCAUCGGCUAACUCGGUGCAGGCAGCCGCGGUAAUACGGAGGAUGCGAGCGUUAUCCGGAUUGAUUGGGUUAAAAGGGUGCGCAGGCGGUCUGUUAAGUCAGCGGUCAAAGCCCGGGGCUCAACCCCGGCCCGCCGUUGAAACUGGCAGUCUCGAGUUGGAGAGAAGUAUGCGGAAUGCGCGGUGUAGCGGUGAAAUGCAUAGAUAUCGCGCAGAACUCCGAUUGCGAAGGCAGCAUGCCGGCUCCACACUGACGCUGAGGCACGAAAGCGUGGGUAUCGAACAGGAUUAGAUACCCGGGUAGUC
rnacentral:rRNA from 1 species